UAAACACACAAAAGACCAUCCCAGACCAAAAAGUGUCAGUGCAGUAAAGGAAUCACAGAGCCAAAGGUGUCAUUGUUCUAAAGGAAAAGAGUUUUCUUUACUGCACAAUGGGUCUUGCCAUUCUUCGUCUUCUUUGUUUAAUAGCAGCUCCUGUGUAUGUCCACUCCACCAUCCUACUUGUAGAAUCUGGACCAGGAACAGCGAGCCCUGGAGGAUCCUUCAGAUUAACUUGCAAAGUGACUGGUGACUCUGUCAAGAAAGUAUACUGGGAGUGGGUUCGCCAGGCUCCAGGAAAAGGACUGGAAUGGGUGGGCCAGAUAGACUGGGCUAGUAAUAACUGGAGGAUAUACUAUGCCUCAUCCCUCCAAAGCCGAACAACCUUGUCUGCCGAUGACUCCCGCAAUGAAUAUUAUUUGACAAUGAGCUCCCUGACAGCUGCAGACUCAGCCACAUAUUACUGUGCAAGAGGUCCACAGUGAGAUAAAGCAAGGGAGGAAGUGUGAAA